UUAUUGCUUCUUCUGCUUGGCUGCUGGGGGAGCUGGGCUUUAUCUUUGAGGCUGGCUUCAUGGCCACUGUCUUGCAUCACAUUGUGUGCUGGACCAAUGAGUGUAUGAGGAUGGGAUGAUCAUCCUCCUGGUGGAAUACUGAAGUGAAAUACUGCAAGAGCAAAAUUCCCUAGCCAAGAGAGAAGGUCACUGAUCCUCCAUCAGUCAGCGCACAACAGAUUCUCAUUCUUUAGAGUGGAUUUUGAGAUUUGCAAAUAGAAAUUAAAUCCCUCAAAUUGUCAUAGGAAAAAAAUGGUCGCAGGGGAAAAAAACAGCAAGGAGCAGGGAGUGUCUGUUAAUCUGGACCAGCUGCUGCCCUUGGGGAUUAGGCAGAUGAACAAAGAGGUAUUUGUCUCAGCUGGCUGGAGUUCAGCACUGCAGCAAGAAGGAUGGAUUCUCUGCUGAGGCAGGUUGAGAGGAAUGAGGCUUUUUUUUUCAUGCAAUUGUCAGGUUUCUUCAAAAAAAUCAAACUCUUAACAAGAAACGUGAAAUUUUCCCUUCAGGAGAUGUGACACCUAAUUUGUCCUCUGGCAAAUGUAGCACCUUGUUAUGUACCUUUGUAACUAUCAGGAAGAUGUAAAACACCCAAACUGUGUUGAAGUAGCCCAAUCUGCUCUGUCUGCAGUGAAGUACAUGCAUGGUGGAUUCAUUAAAAAGCAGAUGCUGCACACACAACCCCAUUACUGCACUACCUCUGCACCUCAGGCCUUGGAGUGCUGAGGUAGGGUCAUGGGGCAGAUUUUAAUGAGUUUUAAAAAAGCUUCUUUAACUUACAUCUCCUGAAAUACCAUACUUUUGUUGAAUCUGAUCUUCUCUAGUUUGUCUUUUUAAAUUUGAGAAAAAAAAAAAAAAAGCUUUUUUUCCAAGAACACAACCUUUCUUAUUUUUUCUUAAAAUAAUGAUAAAAUGUUCUGUCUGUUCACACGCUGAAUUAUCAUUGACAUUUUUCAAAAAUAAUUAUGAUCUAUGGCAUGUUUCAUUCUUAAUUAACAAAAAAGGAGUUGCUGCUAUUAACUGCCAACACAUUUUGAUGUGGAGAAAAUUUAUUAUCCAUGCUACAGGAGAUGAACAGGUCAGAUUUUCAGCUGAGAUAAACUGUCAGAACUGCAGCUGUUUCUCUUGUCCCUAUUUUAGACUUACUAAAAUAAUAUUAAAAGAAUCUUUUGUCAAUAAAAGUUUCUCUUAUGGAUGAGAAGUGAAGCUAAAAGUGAAUUGAGUACAAUCUACCCUGUUUUGCUCUGUUGCACAAGUCUGAGCAAGCUACUUUAACCUCCCUCUGCCUGGGAUCUCCUCCCAGCACUGAAUCCUCUCAUCUAAUUAGGCAGAGAUCUUUAGGAGAGAGUAUAUGGUGCAUCUUUCAGGGUGCUCCAUCACACUGCAGUUAUCCAGUCACCA